rnacentral:tRNA from 2 species
GGAGAGAUGGCCGAGUGGUCGAAGGCACUCCCUUGCUAAGGGAGCAGCGGGUAAAACCGCUCGAGAGUUCGAAUCUCUCUCUCUCCGCCA